GAUGAACGCUGGCGGCGUGCCUAAUACAUGCAAGUCGAGCGAACAGAUGAGGAGCUUGCUCCUCUGACGUUAGCGGCGGACGGGUGAGUAACACGUGGAUAACCUACCUAUAAGACUGGGAUAACUUCGGGAAACCGGAGCUAAUACCGGAUAAUAUAUUGAACCGCAUGGUUCAAUAGUGAAAGACGGUUGUGCUGGCACUUAUAGAGGGAUCCGCGCCGCAUUAGCUAGUUGGUAAGGUAACGGCUUACCAAGGCAACGAUGCGUAGCCGACCUGAGAGGGGGAUCGGCCACACGGGAACUGAGACACGGUCCAGACUACUACGGGAGGCAGCAGUAGGGAAUCUUCCGCAAUGGGCGAAAGCCUGACGGAGCAACGCCGCGUGAGUGAUGAAGGUCUUCGGAUCGUAAAACUCUGUUAUUAGGGAAGAACAAAUGUGUAAGUAACUAUGCACGUCUUGACGGUACCUAAUAAGAAAGCCACGGCUAACUACGUG
rnacentral:rRNA from 1 species